rnacentral:rRNA from 1 species
AUUGAACGCUGGCGGAAUGCUUUACACAUGCAAGUCGAGCGGCAGCACGGGGGCAACCCUGGUGGCGAGCGGCGAACGGGUGAGUAAUACAUCGGAACAUGCCCAGUCGUGGGGGAUAACACUUCGAAAGAAGUGCUAAUACCGCAUACGUCCUGAGGGAGAAAGCGGGGGAUCUUCGGACCUCGCGCGAUUGGAGUGGCCGAUGUCAGAUUAGCUAGUUGGUGGGGUAAAGGCCUACCAAGGCAACGAUCUGUAGCUGGUCUGAGAGGAUGAUCAGCCACACUGGGACUGAGACACGGACCAGACUCCUACGGGAGGCAGCAGUGGGGAAUUUUGGACAAUGGGGGCAACCCUGAUCCAGCCAUUCCGCGUGAGUGAAGAAGGCCUUCGGGUUGUAAAGCUCUUUUGGCAGGAACGAAACGGCGAGCUCUAACAUAGCUUGCUAAUGACGGUACCUGAAGAAGAAGCACCGGCUAACUACGUGCCAGCAGCCGCGGUAAGAC